AAUAUUGGACAAUGGGGGGAACCCUGAUCCAGCCAUUCCACGUGUGUGAAGAAGGUCUUAGGAUUGUAAAGCACUUUCAGUUGGGAGGAAGAGUUGUAGGCUAAUACCUUGCAAUUUUGACGUUACCAACAGAAUAAGCACCGGCUAACUUCGUGCCAGCAGCCGCGGUAAUUCAGAGGGUGCAAGCGUUAAUCGGAAUUACUGGGCGUAAAGCGCGCGUAGGUGGUUCAGUAAGAUGGAAGUGAAGUCCCCGGGCUUAACCUGGGAACUGCUUUCAUAACUGCUGAGCUAGAGUACGGUAGAGGGUAGUGGAAUUUCCUGUGUAGCGGUGAAAUGCGUAGAUAUAGGAAGGAACACCAGUGGCGAAGGCGACUACCUGGACUGAUACUGACACUGAGGUGCGAAAGCGUGGGGAGCAAACAGG
rnacentral:rRNA from 1 species